UACGUAGGGGGGCUAGCGUUGUCCGGAUUUAUUGGGCGUAAAGAGCGUGUAGGCGGCCAGGUAGGUCUGCUGUGAAAAACUCGAGGCUCAACCUCGAGACGUCGGCGGAAACCAUCUGGCUAGAGUCCGGAAGAGGAGAGUGGAAUUCCUGGUGUAGCGGUGAAAUGCGCAGAUAUCAGGAAGAACACCCGUGGCGAAGGCGGCUCUCUGGGACGGUACUGACGCUGAGACGCGAAAGCGUGGGGAGCGAACAGG
rnacentral:rRNA from 1 species